rnacentral:misc_RNA from 1 species
GAUGAGAACGCAGCGAAAUGCGAUAAGUAGUGUGAAUUGCAGAAUUCAGUGAAUCAUCGAAUCUUUGAACGCACAUUGCGCCCCUUGGUAUUCCAUGGGGCAUGCCUGUUCGAGCGUCAUUUGUACCUUCAAGCUUUGCUUGGUGUUGGGUGUUUGUCCUGAGGGACUCGCCUUAAAGUAAUUGGCAGCCAGUGUUUGGUUUUGAAGCGCAGCACAAGUCGCGAUUCAAAGCUAUACGCCCGCUUCCACAAGCCUUUUUCACUUUUGACCUCGGAUCAGGUAGGGAUACCCGCUGAACUUAAGCAUAUCAAUAAGCGGAGGA